rnacentral:rRNA from 1 species
GACAGAGGGGGCAAGCGUUGCUCGGAAUUACUGGGCGUAAAGGGCGCGUAGGCGGGAUGGCAAGUCGGUCGUGAAAUCCUUCGGCUCAACCGAAGAACGUCGGCCGAUACUGCCGUUCUUGAGGGAUGCAGAGGAGACUGGAAUUCCCGGUGUAGCGGUGAAAUGUGUAGAGAUCGGGAGGAACACCGGUGGCGAAGGCGGGUCUCUGGGCAUCUCCUGACGCUGAGGCGCGAAAGCGUGGGGAGCAAACGGG